rnacentral:rRNA from 1 species
AGCCUGAGCAGCGACGCCGCGUGGGGGAGAAGGCCUUCGGGUUGUAAACCUCUUUUCGCGGGGAAGAAAAUGGACGGUACCUCAGGAAAAACCCCCGGCUAACUCCGUGCCAGCAGCCGCGGUAAUACCGAGGGGGCAAGCGUUCCCCGGAAUUGUUGGGCGAAAGGCGCGCGUAGGCGGUCGGAUAAGUCUCUUGUGAAACCCCCCGGCUCAACUGGGACAGGUCAUGGAAUACUCUUCUACUGGAGGACGGAAGAGGAAAGCAGAAUUCCCGGUGUAGCGGUGAAAUGCGAAUAUAUCGGGAAGAACACCAGUGGCGAAAGCGGCUUUCUGGACCGUUCCUGACGCUGAGGCACGAAAGCGUGGGGAACAAACAGGAUUAAAUACCCUGGUAGUCCACCCCCUAAACGAUGGAUACUAGGUGUGGGGGUUAUCGACCCCCUUGGUGUCGCAGCUAACGCGAUUAUCCUCCCGCCUGGGUACUACGGCCGCGAUGCUAAUACUCA